GCUCACUUCGGCAGCACAUAUCCUAAAAUUGGAAUGAUACAAAGAAUAGCAUGGUCUCUGCACGAUGCUGACAGGCAAAUUCGUGAAACAUUCUAUGUUUUU
ensembl:snRNA U6 U6 spliceosomal RNA